UGCGUAGGCUGUCCGGUAAGUUGGGUGUGAAAGCCCUCGGCUCAACCGAGGAAUUGCGCCCAAAACUGUCGGACUCGAGGGAGACAGAGGUGAGCGGAACUUAGGGUGGAGCGGUGAAAUGCGUUGAUAUCCUAAGGAACACCAGUGGCGAAAGCGGCUCACUGGGUCUUUUCUGACGCUGAGGCACGAAAGCUAGGGGAGCGAACG
rnacentral:rRNA from 1 species